rnacentral:rRNA from 1 species
GUACACGCUGUGACUAGCAUAUCAAUAAGCGGAGGAAAAGAAACUAACAAGGAUUCCCCUAGUAACGGCGAGUGAAGCGGGAAGAGCUCAAAUUUGAAAUCUUAAAGGGUUUCCCUUUACGAAUUGUAGUUUAAAGAAGUGUUUUCUGUUGAGGUUUUGGUAAAAGUUCUUUGGAAUAGGACAUCAUAGAGGGUGAGAAUCCCGUAUUUGACCUUUACUUUCAACUUUGUGAUACACUUUCAAAGAGUCGGAUUGUUUGGGAAUGCAGUCCAAAAUGGGUGGUAAAUUUCAUCUAAAGCUAAAUAUUGGCGAGAGACCGAUAGCGAACAAGUACCGUGAGGGAAAGAUGAAAAGAACUUUGAAAAGAGAGUUAAACAGUACGUGAAAUUGUCAAAAGGGAAGCGUUUGACACCAGUGUUGUUUUUCUGAAAAUCAAUUAAAGAACUGUUUAUGCUAAGCUGUUUAGACUUUAUCAGCUAUCUGUUUAGUUUUGAGCUUCUCUUUAAUGCACUUUUCAGUUAACAAGUCAACAUCAAUUUCUUUUGCUGUAGAAAAGCUUGAGGAAGGUGGCUUGAGAUUCGUCUUAAGUGUUUAUAGCCUCUUGCCUAUGCAGUCGGAGAGAUUGAGGUCUGCAGCGUAGAUCCUUCGGGGCUAAAUGCAUUUGUGCUAAGUUAUAGCAUUUUCAUAGACAACUUGUUGACUAUGAUUUGUCUUGUAGCUUACUCGCUUAUGUUAUUUUACCUACGCUUAGGAUGUUGACUGAUAUGUAGUCGUA